rnacentral:misc_RNA from 1 species
AUCAAGCAGAGCUAUGAGGACGUGG